rnacentral:rRNA from 1 species
GCUGACCAGCCACGUCGCGUGAGCGAUGACGGCCCUACGGGUUGUAAACUUCUUUUAUAAGGGAAUAAAGGGCGCCACGCGUGGUGUUUUGCAUGUACCUUAUGAAUAAGCAUCGGCUAACUCCGAG